rnacentral:rRNA from 1 species
GACGCCGCGUGUGGGAGGAAGCUUUUCGGAGUGUAAACCACUGUCAGGGGGGACGAAGGUCCGUGGGAGGAAAUGCCCAGGGGAUGACGGUACCCCCAGAGGAAGCACCGGCUAACUUCGUGCCAGCCCCGUCGGUGACUGAGCGGGCUGGCAAGGCGCAUA